rnacentral:rRNA from 1 species
CCUACGGGUGGCAGCAGUGAGGAAUAUUGGUCAAUGGGCGCGAGCCUGAACCAGCCAAGUAGCGUGAAGGAUGACUGCCCUACGGGUUGUAAACUUCUUUUAUAAAGGAAUAAAGGGAGGCACGUGUGGCUUGUUGUAUGGACGAUAUGAAUAAGGAUCGGCUAACUCCGUGCCAACAGCCGCGGUAAUACGGAGGAUCCGAGCGUUAUCCGGAUUUAUUGGGUUGAAAGGGAGCGUAGAGGGGUUGUUAAGUCGGUUGUGACAGUUUGCGGCUCAACCGUAAAAUUGCAAUUGAUACUGGCAUCCUUGAGUACAGUUGAGGUCGGCGCAAUUCGUGGUGUAGCG